UACGGAGGAUGCGAGCGUUAUCCGGAUUUAUUGGGUUUAAAGGGUGCGUAGGCGGGCUGUUAAGUCAGCGGUAAAAGCCCGGGGCUCAACCCCGGCGAGCCGUUGAAACUGGGGAUCUAGAGUGUGCGAGAGGUAUGCGGAAUGCGUGGUGUAGCGGUGAAAUGCGUAGAUAUUAGGAGGAACACCAGUGGCGAAGGCGGCUUGCUGGACGACGACUGACGUUGAGGCUCGAAAGCGUGGGGAGCAAACAGG
rnacentral:rRNA from 1 species